AUGUUGCCAGAUGGUAGCAGUUCAGAGGCAACACCGCCGGAGAGCAGUCUGAGCAUAGAUAUUAUAGUGCUUGAGGCAGAAAGAGAUGGUGUGGCUGCCAUGGCUGAGGUAAUCUUUAUCUUGAGGCUGGAAAUUACUGAAUUAGCGGCAUGCAUUAUGCAAGCAACCCAAGAAUUGGAGGAAGUAAGAAUGUUGCAUUUCAAGACGGAGGAGGUCCUGCUGUUUCUGCUAUCUAAAGCCCAAGGUAAUCCCGGUUCUUCUUUAGAUACCAGUUGA
rnacentral:rRNA from 1 species